CCUACGGGAGGCAGCAGUGAGGAAUAUUGGUCAAUGGACGAGAGUCUGAACCAGCCAAGUAGCGUGAAGGAUGACUGCCCUAUGGGUUGUAAACUUCUUUUAUAUGGGAAUAAAACGUUCCACGUGUGGGAUUUUGUAUGUACCAUAUGAAUAAGGAUCGGCUAACUCCGUGCCAGCAGCCGCGGUAAUACGGAGGAUCCGAGCGUUAUCCGUAUUUAUUGGGUUUAAAGGGAGCGUAGGUGGAGUGUUAAGUCAGUUGUGAAAGUUUGCGGCUCAACCGUAAAAUUGCAGUUGAAACUGGCAGUCUUGAGUACAGUAGAGGUGGGCGGAAUUCGUGGUGUAGCGGUGAAAUGCUUAGAUAUCACGAAGAACUCCGAUUGCGAAGGCAGUUCACUGGACUGCAACUGACACUGAGGCUCGAAAGUGUGGGUAUCAAACAGGAUUAGAUACCCCUGUAGUC
rnacentral:rRNA from 1 species